UACGAAGGGGGCUAGCGUUGCUCGGAAUCACUGGGCGUAAAGCGCACGUAGGCGGAUUGUUAAGUCGGGGGUGAAAUCCUGGAGCUCAACUCCAGAACUGCCUUCGAUACUGGCGAUCUUGAGUCCGGGAGAGGUGAGUGGAACUCCGAGUGUAGAGGUGAAAUUCGUAGAUAAUUCGGAAGAACACCAGUGGCGAAGGCGGCUCACUGGCCGGUACUGACGCUGAGGUGCGAAAGCGUGGGGAGC
rnacentral:rRNA from 1 species